rnacentral:rRNA from 1 species
UUGACCUCAAAUCGAGUAGGACUACCCGCUGAACUUAAGCAUAUCAAUAAGCGGAGGAAAAGAAACUAACAAGGAUUCCCCUAGUAACGGCGAGUGAAGAGGGAAGAGCUCAAAUUUUGAAUCUGGCGUCUUUGGCGUCCGAAUUGUAAUCUAGAGAAGUGUUUUCCGUGACGGACCGUGCAUAAGUCUCCUGGAAUGGAGUGUCAUAGAGGGUGAGAAUCCCGUAUAUGGCACGGACUCCCGUUGCUCUGUGAUACACUCUCGACGAGUCGAGUUGUUUGGGAAUGCAGCUCUAAAUGGGUGGUAAAUGCCAUCUAAAGCUAAAUAUUGGCGAGAGACCGAUAGCGAACAAGUACCGUGAGGGAAAGAUGAAAAGCACUUUGGAAAGAGAGUGAAAC